rnacentral:rRNA from 1 species
ACGCUCGACACCUACGGAGGCAGCAGUCGGGAAUAUUGCGCAAUGGAGGAAACUCUGACGCAGUGACGCCGCGUGCAGGAAGAAGGUUUUCGGAUUGUAAACUGCUUUAGACAGGGAAGAAAGAAAUGACAGUACCUGUAGAAUAAGCUCCGGCUAACUACGUGACAGCAGCCGCGGUAAUCUGAGCGGGCUGGCAAGGC